GAUGAACGCUGGCGGCGUGCCUAAUACAUGCAAGUCGAGCGAACAGACGAGGAGCUUGCUCCUCUGACGUUAGCGGCGGACGGGUGAGUAACACGUGGAUAACCUACCUAUAAGACUGGGAUAACUUCGGGAAACCGGAGCUAAUACCGGAUAAUAUAUUGAACCGCAUGGUUCAAUAGUGAAAGACGGUUUUGCUGUCACUUAUAGAUGGAUCCGCGCCGCAUUAGCUAGUUGGUAAGGUAACGGCUUACCAAGGCAACGAUGCGUAGCCGACCUGAGAGGGUGAUCGGCCACACUGGAACUGAGACACGGUCCAGACUCCUACGGGAGGCAGCAGUAGGGAAUCUUCCGCAAUGGGCGAAAGCCUGACGGAGCAACGCCGCGUGAGUGAUGAAGGUCUUCGGAUCGUAAAACUCUGUUAUUAGGGAAGAACAAAUGUGUAAGUAACUAUGCACGUCUUGACGGUACCUAAACAGAAAGCCACGGCUAACUUCGUG
rnacentral:rRNA from 1 species